UUCUACACCCACUCGACUUGGUUGCGCAGAACCAGAACCUGAGGAAGGAGAAGAAUCGCCCAGACUAUUUGGUUUGAUCCAUUCUGAGUCCUUGAUAUUACUCUGAAGAAGAAUCACCCAGAUGGUUUUGCUGCGUUUUGUGGAUGCAUGCAUGUCAUCUUCUUCGAAACCAAGCAUCAAUUUGAUCUGAAUUGGAUGCUUCUGCUCUAAGUUCAGGUUUUGAGGAAGAAGCUAUCUUCACCGUUGUGACUGCAGUUAAGGUCAACCUCCUGAACUCAUUGUACGUUAUUGGUGGUGUGGCUGCUCUGCUUUUUGGACCGACAAGUUACCUGAAGUGGGCACUAUCAACAGCUUCCAAUAGACUAACAGAUUGAAAAACUGAAAGUGGAGCAAUCUAAGCUCUACUUGAGGAGAAAUGGGUUCAGACUGACUGGCAAUAUGGACAAGCUCAUUCAACAGAUUAAGGAGCAUUUAGAUUCUAGGGAUUUUGAAUGAUGGAGGUGAGAGGUGAGAAAAAAAGAGGAGAAAGUUGAUACAAGCAAGAAAGAAACUCCCCUAAUUGACAAGAAAGUUGACAAGGAUCUACUGCAGGUUCUUCGCCUGGAAUCAAGUCGGCCACAGUAGGAUAUGAGAUUGAUAAUCCAUAACUUGGGAAAUUUUCUCUCACACAAGGAU
rnacentral:lncRNA from 1 species